rnacentral:tRNA from 1 species
GUCUUCGUGGCUCAGUUGGUUAGAGCUUUGGACUCAUAGCCCAAAGGUCGCGAGCUCGAGUCUCGCUGAGGACA